rnacentral:lncRNA from 1 species
GCUACCAAUUUAUAAAAAUAGUGGGAGGACCUUUAGACUAAAGUCCAUAUCUUUAAGAUCAAAAAUAAUUCAUAUACUAAUAGGCUAAUAUUUUUUAUUUUAGUUAUGGCCAACACACUAUCCCUCCGUACAUUUUUGGACAGCGACAGACUCAUCAGAUCCAACUUCGAUAGCUAGUAUCGACAGUUAAAGAUCGUCUUGGAGUAUGAGAGAAUUUUGUACGUCCUU